ACUGAAUAGAUACCCCGGUAGUCCACGCCCUAAACGAUGUCUACUAGUUGUCGGGGAUUCAUUUCCUUGGUAAACGCAGCUAAACGCGUGAAGUAGACCGCCUGGGGAGUACGGCCGCAAGGUUAAAACUCAAAGGAAUUGACGGGGACCCGCACAAGCGGUGGAUGAUGUGGAUUAAUUCGAUGCAACGCGAAAAACCUUACCUACGCUUGACAUGCCAGGAACUUUCCAGAGAUGGAUUGGUGCCCGAAAGGGAACCUGGACACAGGUGCUGCAUGGCUGUCGUCAGCUCGUGUCGUGAGAUGUUGGGUUAAGUCCCGCAACGAGCGCAACCCUUAUCCUUAGUUGCUACGCAAGGGCACUCUAGGGAGACUGCCGGUGACAAACCGGAGAAGGUGGGAUGACGUCAAGUCCUCAUGGCCCUUAUGUGUAGGGCUUCACACGUCAUACAAUGGUCGGUACAGA
rnacentral:rRNA from 1 species